AAGUCGUAACAAGGUUUCCGUAGGUGAACCUGCGGAAGGAUCAUUAACAACAUAUCCUAACUAAAAAACCCUGUGAACUUUCAAUGUCCCGAACCUUUGAUCCGAGGACUUCAGCAAUCUCUGGUAAAUCAUAGUGAACAGCUUUUGAUUCAGCCAUGUUCCUUUCUAGUGAAAGCUAUUGGGUUAUAACUAAACGACUGUUAACAAUGGAUAUCUCGAUUCUC
rnacentral:misc_RNA from 1 species